UUACAGAUACUGCAACGCGUCGUGUGUCUUAAAGGGGUCAACUUCUCCCGCUGCAAAAGGUAGCAGAUUGUUUGCGUCUCCCUAAACCACGCAUCGUGACUUUGUUUUACUGCGGACGUACAUUGUCUUGACAACCAUCGACCCGGGCUACAUGCAACAAUCUCAAAGAUUAACUGCCAUGCACUACGAACCCCGAACCGGAGGGCUUUGCUUUGGAGUGUGGUUGUAUGGAACAUAAGGUCGCCUCUAAGUUUACUUCAAUGACGUAUGAUACAUGGGCAAAAUUACUUUCGCUGCAAAAGGUAGCAGAUUGUUUGCGUCUCCCUAAACCACGCAUCGUGACUUUGUUUUACUGCGGACGUACAUUGUCUUGACAACCAUCGACCCGGGCUACAUGCAACAAUCUCAAAGAUUAACUGCCAUGCACUACGAACCCCGAACCGGAGGGCUUUGCUUUGGAGUGUGGUUGUAUGGAACAUAAGGCCGUCUCUAAGUUUACUUCAAUGACGUAUGAUACAUGGGCAAAAUUACUUUCGCUGCAAAAGGUAGCGCCACGAAUCGUCUCGCGACUUUGUUUCAGGUGAGUUUUAAUUUUCAAACCGUAUCGUUUUACAACACUGCUAGUGUAAAUGGCGAUGCAGGCACGAUAUCUGCUCUUAAGGGAAGGUGCCGGUAUUAGAAUCAAAAUCACAAAAAAAGAACCAAUAAAUGCAUAUUAUGCGUUAUCAGAAAAAGGAAAUAAGA